ensembl:lncRNA
AGCUGACCUUUAAAAUUCCCCACCCUCCUAAGCUUCUGGUUGAGAGGGCAGCAGACGGGGGUUUGGGAUUUUUUACUUCUCGUUCCCAUUAUCAGAGCUGCCUCAGACUUCCUGAGUGAUGUGGCUGAAUCCCUUGGCAAGGCUAGCCUCAGUUUCCCUGAAGUGAAUGAACAGAGGAGAAGGUGAAAGAUUUGAGGCUUAUACAUGGAAGGGACUUGCCUUGCCUUGGAUCUGACUUUGGACUGUGGACUUUUGAGGGAGAAGACUCUUCAUUGUAUGCAAUGGGCAUGCAGCCUGCUACAGCACAGAAUCUACCAGGUUCAUGGAAUCUCAAUGUUUAACAGAACUUGAAAAUUCCUCCAACUGCAGAAAUUCCUUUCAAGCACCUCUGAUUGAUGCCCCAUAGCCUUGGGUUUAACAUGCAGGAAGAUGGGUGCCACCCACCCUCUGCCUUCUCACCAGACAGCCUAUUCCAUUUAUUGAAUAGUUCUAAUCAUUAAAACAUUCUUCUUUAUUUUGCAUCAAUGUCUCCCUCCUGAUAACUUCCACCAAUUAAUCCUAGUUUGAUCUCCUGUAAUUAAUCCAUUCCGUUUUUCACGUGAUAGUAUUUUGAAUUUAUGAAGGCAGCUAAAAGUUCCUCUGGAGUCUUCUUGAUCCUUCAGCAUCCUCCGGUUAUUUUUCCAUUAUUUCUAUUCAGAUAUUCCUCAAGGAGAAAAAACAUACCAAAAGGUCCUAGAUUGUCUCCAGCCUAAAUUAGGCUCAUGUACGGUUUCCUCUUGUUCCAUUACUGUGUUCCAGUCCAAAUGUUUGGGUAACUACCGGUACUAUAUAUUCUGCUGAGAGCUGGGAAGAAUUAAGAAAAUAAGAUGUGGUCUCUGCUCUUGGUUGUAUAACAGGAGCAUUAACAACUAAAUGGGA